rnacentral:lncRNA from 1 species
UAUCCAUGGGGGUUUGAAGACUUAUUCAACAACCCUUGCAAAUUCACGAGGUGAUGCAACGUCUUAAUUACUUACUAAGAAGCUUGUACGACUUACCUUGAUCAAAAACAGGAUGACGCACCACCUUAAGGACGAUGGAAUCGCCUGCUUGCUGGAGAGAUGUGAUUGCCGCAGAGAGAGGUUUGCAGUGCAGACUUUGACCGUCGAUUGCUACCAGCUGAUCACCCACGUGCAGAGCCCUCGUUUGUUGUGCAACUCCAUCUGGAAGACAUUAUGAUGGAAAAGUAUGAACUUCAGAGCAUGACUAUGAGCAGGGAUGGCCAAUAUCCUGUAAACCUCGUCCAUAGUCAGCGUGCUGUCGAGAAGGUGGUCGUUAACCGCUACAAUGACGUCACCAACAAGAAUUGCACCGCUCCUCUUGGCGGGGGACCCCGCUCUAACCUCGACGAUCACUGGUCCCAGAUCACUCGCUGCAACAAUCAUUCAAUUACUAUUCCUGUCCAGUAAUGAAACAUUUUAAUUAAAAUACUAUAAACCGACCGCUAACAACCACCAACACUCGACAAAAAGUGACUUGAUUUAAGCAAAAUAUUUUUCAAUUUGCCGCCAAGAAGAAGUUCUGGAAUCAAUAGGUAAUAAUUAAGCUUGUAUCAAGAAGGAAGUUGCUUUCAUCGAGAAAAAAUCUGCUUAAUUCAAGCGAUUUCAUUUCUGAUUCAAGAGGAAAUCUUCAUAAGCAAUGCCAGUGUUUCUUAUUUUUUUCAGUCUAUGUGCGUAAUUAAUUAUUUGAUAUAUUAUCAGACAAUAAUAUAUUUCAUAAUUAUUUUUGCUUAUGCGAGCCUGCCAGUCAUGGAGCAGCAGUAGCUACACUUACGAAGGUUGACUGCAAUGACAAUAAGUUGAUUUGACGCAUACGCAACGAAAGUAACCAAAGCGCCUUCAUGUUCAAUGUAUGCAACUUUAACAACCGAAGAGCAGGAAUAGUUAAGUAGCGUCCGGGCGUUUUAUAAAUGAAGAGGGUCACUUACAUGCGAGUGAUAGUCCCAGAUCGUAAUCGGAGCGUUUGGUAAUCUGGACGGAAAAAGUUCCGAACGUUGACGCGGUACACUUUUCAACGUCGUAUUCUACGUCCAGUCGGACGGUUUCAUGAGGCCUAAAAUCACAGAGUUUCAUCGGGGUUUUGGAAUACGGCGGAUGAGCCCCGUUGAUCAGGAGUAUCCGGUCGCUACAUUUCAGUCUUUCGCUUCUGAAAUAACAGGAAAACAAUCAGCGAUGCGCAAAAUGAAACAUCCUUACCUAGGGAUGGACUCACAAUGACUUAGAGAAAGACACCAAAUGAAAAGAGAGAAAAAGAAAAGAAAGCUCAGCAAAAUCGUCAUUAAAUUGAUCUUUUAAGAAAUAUUUAGUGUCUUCUUAAAAGAGAGAGUAAACAAUAAAUAUUUUCUAUACAUCUUUAAAUUAGAGAAUAAUUAGGUACCCUCAAGCCAAAACGAGUUACUAGACUCCAUUUU